UACGUAGGUGGCAAGCGUUGUCCGGAAUUAUUGGGCGUAAAGAGCUCGUAGGCGGUCUGUUACGUCUGCUGUGAAAACCCUGGGCUUAACCCUGGGCUUGCAGUGGAUACGGGCAGACUAGAGGCAGGUAGGGGAGAAUGGAAUUCCCGGUGUAGCGGUGAAAUGCGCAGAUAUCGGGAGGAACACCGGUGGCGAAGGCGGUUCUCUGGGCCUGACCUGACGCUGAGGAGCGAAAGCGUGGGGAGCGAACAGG
rnacentral:rRNA from 1 species